UACAGAGAGGGCAAGCGUUGUUCGGAAUGACUGGGCGUAAAGGGCGCGUAGGCGGUUUGUUAAGUUGGAUGUGAAAUCCCCGGGCUCAACCUGGGAACUGCAUUCGAUACUGGCAGACUUGAGGCUAAGAGAGGAAAGCGGAAUGACGAGUGUAGAGGUGAAAUUCGUAGAUAUUCGUCGGAACACCAGAGGCGAAGGCGGCUUUCUGGCUUAGACCUGACGCUGAGGCGCGAAAGCGUGGGGAGCAAAC
rnacentral:rRNA from 1 species